UAUUACUCCACAUCUCCUGCCUUUGCCCACCUGCAUUGUCUCUGUGCCUGAGCCCCGGCUGGUGGCCUGCAAGGAUCCCCUAUCUCCUCUGCCCCUGCACGGCUGGGUCCCAGGCAAUCUGUCCACCCACCACACCUCUCUCCCCUUGCCCACCACACUCCAGCCCCACAGUCCUCUUUCUGCUUCUUUCCCAGCCUCUGGGCUUUUACACACGCUGUUCUCUCUGCAUGAACACCCUCCAAUGGGCUGAGAACAACUCUCUGAGACCUCUCUCAGCUGUUGCUUCCUUUGGAACAGCCGCUGCUGCUGUCCCUCUCCCAGCUCCAAGACCUGCUGAGCCUCCUGUCUUUUUCAGUUCCCAUGCCCCCAGCACUUCUCCUUGGCCUCCUUUGGCCCAAUUGACAAUGUCCAUUCUCAAUGCCUUCUCACCCAGCGCUGAGCCCCACUGGGUGAAGGCAAUGCCUGUCAUGUUCACCACAAUAUCCCCUCCCCCAUCACCAUGACUGGUCCACAGUGAUGCUCAAAAAAGAUCUGUUGUUAGGCAAUGGGAAGGUGCAUUCAUGUCAUCCUGCAGGAGGAAUUCUCCACGAGUUUUGAGCAGCCUCGGUUUUCCCACCACCUCCAAAUCAUGCAAGACACAGGUGCAGGCAGAGCCACCGGAGCCAUGGCCAGCCCUUCUGGCAGCUCCGAAGCCACUGGCAAGCCCCGAGGCAGGGAUCACCGGCCCAGGAGGGAGGAGGACGACAUCCCUCCCGAAGAGAAGAGGCUGCGGCUGUUGCUGGAGGGGAGAAGCGCACAGCCCGAGGACUGCGAGGACGGGGAGGACGCGCCGCGGCCGGGCAGGGAGGAGACCGGCACCCAGACAGGUGGCGACGGCAGAGGAUGAUGUUUUGUUCUGGGGUGCAUCACAAGAGACAAGGUUCUUGACUGGGCAUGGUGGCUCAAGCCAAUAGUCCCAGCAGUUUGAGAGGCCGAAGGGGGAAGAUCUCUUGAGCCCAGGAGUUUAAGACCAACCUGGGAAACAAGGUGAAGCCUCAUAUCUAACCAAAAAAAAAAAAAAAAAAAAAAAAGACCAAGUAUGCUGAUGUGUGCCUCUAGUCCCAAGUACUUGGGAGGCUGAGGUGGGAGGAUUGCUAGAGCCUGGAAGGUCGGGCUGCAGUGAGCUGUGAUCAUGCCACUGCACUCCAGCCUGGGUGACAAGGUGAGACAGUUUCAAGGAAAAGAGAGAGAGAGAGACAGACAGACCCACAAGAGUCUUAAGCCAGAAUCUCCAUGUUAAAAUGCUUUCUGGAGGCUAAAAGGAUCAUAUGUUGAUAAUUAAAUGUUUAAAAGGCAGAAACCCCACUGAAUUAUUUGGUCCACAGAGGGAAAUGGGAAUCGCAUGAACUGAAGGAUGAUGGAGGAACUAAACAGAAACCAUCCUUGUUUCCUGAAUCUGAACAUGGCACCCUCUUUUCACGGUCUCUGUAUCUGCUCAGUCUGGCGGCCCCUCGAAAAGAGGGAAUCUUGAUUUUCAAACUUAAAAUUUGGCCCAAAGCCCACUGCUGCCUACAAUGCCCACCAGACCCAUUCCUAUUCCCUUUUAGUUUCUAUGGGAAUACUCUCUUUGAAGAACCCAUGAAGCAGUGUCAGGCUGGUGUGAGGAUCAGCAGUGAUUUCUUUGAGGAGGAGAGCCCGUUUCUUCACUCACAGGCCAUGUCUGAGUGGAUCAAGAAGAACAGAGCGCCCUUUUAUGAGAUUUUGUCUGCGUAGACCAUUAGCUUGGUAAAAAUGUCAAAACCAUCCUCUUUCUUUAAUAGCAGAUUAUUUUGGACUUUUCUCUGCAAGAAGCAGCAUGGGCAUUCAGAUGCUUUUAAGGAUAAAAUGUUCUUUCUCAUCACCAGGCCUGGUGCUCUGGAUGGCUGAGGUUUUAAUGUGAUUGGAUGUCCCUUGGAGUGGCUCCCAGGCUGUGAUCUCGUGGUUGGGUGGCAAGUGGUUGCUUUAUUCGGUGGUGGCUAGAGGAUGUUUUAGCAGAUAAAUCAGGAUCCCAGGAGCCCCUGAGUGUCAAGUCCUGCUGCAGGGCAUGUGUUUAUGGUGGCGAUGUGGGUGGGUGGAGGGUGGGGAGCAUUGAUUUCCUGCCAAUAUCAGAAGUUUCACAGGCUUCUUGUGUAUCCACAAACACCCAACCCAUUGAGAAGGCCUAGAAAACCUGCCCCUCCCCAAGCCUUUAUUGACAGCUUGUGAAUAAUCCCAGGGUGUGUCUGACCCACAGCUCUUCCUGGAGGGAGAGAAAAGUCUCUCCUAGGUAUUUGAUUGUCAACCUCAACCACUUGCUGAGCCUUCCCCAAGACCAGGCACCUUGGCAGAGAUAUCUGGAUUGUCAGGCAGAACCGAGCAUUCAAGGGUAAUAACUCACUGGAGUCCCUGAAAUCCCUGAUGGGCGCACCAGAUAAAAGCAUCCAGGGUUGAAACCAGAUCAGGAAGGUUAUUGUCAGCCUGGGGCUCCUGUAGAGGUGCAUCCACGUUGCAGGGAUUUUCCUUCUUGCUGAGGAGAAACCUGGGUUUCUCAGCUUUGGCACAGUCACAACAUUUGGGGUCAGACCAUUCGUGGUGGUGGUGCGGGGGCUGUCCUGUGUAUUGUAGGAUGGUUAGCAGCAUCUGUGGUCUCCAUCCUCUAGGUACCAUUCUAUCCUCCCAGCUAUGGCUACCACAGAUGUCUCCAGAUGGUUUCAAGUGCUGUGGGGCAAGGGAGUGGUAUGUGAACAAAACCACCCCAGUUGAGAGCCAUUGGUCUACACUUGUGGAAAUGUUUGAGGGUGACAGUGUCGAGCUUGGGUCCCUGCUGUACCCUUUAUGAGCAAUGCGGUCUUGGAAAAUUAAUACUACCCCAGGGGCCUCAGUUUUCUCUUCUAUAAAAUGGAAAUAAAUGAGAUACACUUUCAUAAGAAGGUUAUAUGGGAUUUUCUGAGAUAAUAAGACAGUACAUGGAAAAUACUGGGCAUAGCAUUUAUUUAUUUUAAUUUCUUUUUAAGACAGAGUCUUACUCUGUUGCCCAGGCAGGAGUGCAGCGGCAUGAUCUCCGCUCACUGCAACCUCCACCUCCUGGGCUCAAGUGAUUCUCCUGCCUCAGGCUCCCGAGUAACUGGGACUACAGGCGUGCGCCAUCAUGCCCAGCUAAUUUUUGAAUUUUUAGGAGAGACGGGGCUUCACCAUGUUGGGCAGGAUAGUGCCAUCUCUUAACCUCGUUAUCUGCCCUCCUCGGCCUUCCCAUGUUCUGUGAUUACAGGCGUGAGCCACCGUGCCUGGCCAAACAUAAACUUACUUUCUUACCUCUUCUGCUGAACUCUAUUUGCUUCUUAUCCCAAAUGUCUUUAUCCAGAAGAGCUUUUAGCAACAAAGUUACCCAAUGCCCUUCCGUAGUCUCUCCAUGCAACUGGCUCUCAGCAGGCGGGGGAGGAAAUCCUUGACAGAACCAAUUUACAUGACUGUUUGGAGGACUCUGGCUAGCCCCAGGAGGUGUUUACAUUUUUAAAUUGGUUACUAGUGUCAGAAUGUUUCAUGAGUAAGAGCCCAGCCUCUAUGUUGGAUGCCCUGAAUUUGAAUCUCAGCAUUGCCGCUUUGUAUAUAACCAGAGGAUGGAUUUGGGGACCCAAUGGAUCUACCAUGACAUGAACUUGCACCAACAUUCACCUGAUCUCCAAAAUGCCUAUUCUGACUGGUAGACCCUAGUCUCAGCCAAGUGCCAGUUCAGAGCCUGUCUCCAGUGAUCCUGAAGAGGUCUCAUUAGUUCCUUUUCUCCUGUUCAGUCAUCCUGGUAAUAGGCUGUGUAUUCCCUUGGGGGCAGGCUGGGAGAAAGAUUGACAGUAUAAAUUUUUGGCAGUGGAGCAGAGUCCUUUCUGGAGGGGACCUGGCUUCCCAUUCAGACAAGGGACUCCGGGUCUGUGAACUGGCUUAUGUCUGGAAAUUGAUGGGGGACUGUGACUGUUUUUAUGAUUCAGAUUAGACUUCUGCUCACCUCACCUAGAACUCUUCUGCAAACACAGAUCCAGUAAAAAUGUGGCAGGCUUCUUAUCUAUUUCACCUCUAGGAAUGCCACGAUCAGCUGGCACCAUAGGUCUCUGUGAGUUAGGCUAUUCUGGUUGCAGCUUUGACUCUGCUGUCUUUUAUGGUAACUGCAUCCACCUUGCCUUUGGGGAUUGAGUGCUCUGAUCACUUGGCCCCAGCCACUGUAGUGUGCCUAUGUCACUUACCCUCUUUAUAACUCAGUCUCUUCCUCUGUAAAAUGGGCAUCCUCAUUGCACCAACCCCCAGGGCUGCUGUGAGCUAUAGAUGGAUUAGCAUAUGGCAAGUAAUAGAAGAGGGUCUCAAAGUCCAUGUGUCUUUAUCAGAAUUAUUUCAUGAUGGGGAGAGCUGGAGGAGAGAAGAAGGUGCUAAGCAGACCCAUGUGCUCUCCCACCAGUGUUUCCUGAGCACCUACUAUGUGCUGCCCACUGUGAGAGCUGUUAGGGUUGAAAUAGGGAGCACAGCAGGGUAGGGGCUGCCAUCAGGAGCUUAGUGGGGAGACCAUUGUGCAACAUGGUUCCAGCACUUGGGGUGGGGAAGCUCAGGGAGUACAGGGGCCUAGGAUCCUGGGCAGAAUCAUGGAAAGGACACAGCCUCCCCAGCCUCUCCUGCCUCCACUGCCUCCCUGGCCUCCUCUGCUUCUGUGGCCUCUCCUGCCUUCCUGGCUUCCCCUCCCACCCCAGCCUCCUUAGUCUCCCCUGUCUCUCCUUCUUUUCAGGUGGGCCAGGAGCUGUUGGUGCUCACUUAGCCUGUCCUGGACUCUGG
ensembl:lincRNA